AUUGAACGCUGGCGGCAUGCCUUACACAUGCAAGUCGAACGGUAACAGGUCUUCGGAUGCUGACGAGUGGCGAACGGGUGAGUAAUACAUCGGAACGUGCCCGAUCGUGGGGGAUAACGGGGCGAAAGCUUUGCUAAUACCGCAUACGAUCUACGGAUGAAAGCGGGGGAUCUUCGGACCUCGCGCGGACGGAGCGGCCGAUGGCAGAUUAGGUAGUUGGUGGGAUAAAAGCUUACCAAGCCGACGAUCUGUAGCUGGUCUGAGAGGAUGAUCAGCCACACUGGGACUGAGACACGGCCCAGACUCCUACGGGAGGCAGCAGUGGGGAAUUUUGGACAAUGGGCGAAAGCCUGAUCCAGCCAUGCCGCGUGCAGGAUGAAGGCCUUCGGGUUGUAAACUGCUUUUGUACGGAACGAAAAGCCUCUUUCUAAUAAAGAGGGGUCAUGACGGUACCGUAAGAAUAAGCACCGGCUAACUACGUG
rnacentral:rRNA from 1 species